UACAGAGGGGCAAGCGUUAUUCGGAAUUACUGGGCGUAAAGCGCACGUAGGCGGCUUUCUAAGUCGGGGGUGAAAUCCUGGAGCUCAACUCCAGAACUGCCUUCGAUACUGGAGAGCUUGAGUCCGGGAGAGGUGAGUGGGAACUGCGAGUGUAGAGGUGAAAUUCGUAGAUAUUCGCAAGAACACCAGUGGCGAAGGCGGCUCACUGGCCCGGUACUGACGCUGAGGUGCGAAAGCGUGGGAGCAACA
rnacentral:rRNA from 1 species